rnacentral:rRNA from 1 species
CAGUAGCCGCGGUAAUACGAAGGGUGCAAGCGUUACUCGGAAUCACUGGGCGUAAAGCGUGCGUAGGUGGUGGUUUAAGUCCGUUGUGAAAGCCCUGGGCUCAACCUGGGAAUUGCAGUGGAUACUGGAUCACUAGAGUGCGGUAGAGGAUAGUGGAAUUUCCGGUGUAGCAGUGAAAUGCGUAGAGAUCGGAAGGAACAUCUGUGGCGAAGGCGACUAUCUGGGCCAACACUGACACUGAGGCACGAAAGCGUGGGGAGCAAACAGGAUUAGAUACCCCAGUAGUCCCUGUCUCUUAUAC